GCCUUCGUGGUGUAAUGGUCAGCACACCGAGCCGGUAUCUUAGAGGUCCGUGGUUCGAUCCCCGGCGAAGGCA
rnacentral:tRNA from 1 species